rnacentral:rRNA from 1 species
UACGUAGGUGGCAAGCGUUGUCCGGAUUUACUGGGCGUAAAGAGCGCGCAGGCGGUCGUUCAAGUCGCGUGUGAAAGCCCCCGGCUCAACUGGGGAGGGUCACGCGAUACUGAUCGACUCGAAGGCAGGAGAGGGUAGUGGAAUUCCCAGUGUAGCGGUGAAAUGCGUAGAUAUUGGGAGGAACACCAGUGGCGAAGGCGGCUACCUGGACCGGUUCUGACGCUGAUGCGCGAAAGCGUGGGUAGCAAACAGG